AUAUUCUGGCUUGGUUUGAUGACUCUGCUACAGAUGAGCAAGAAGCCCUAGGUGACCCAUUUACCCUUCCCCAGCAGGGUACCAGCUGCCAAUUGCCCCCACUCUGUGAUGGCUUGUCCUUCUUCUCACCUUGUCAUCAAGCCAAGACUGAACACUGUAGGAGCACAGACAUGGGAUUUUGCUGCAAUUUCAGUUACCGGUUUUGUGGUUGAUGGGUUUUUUUUUCUGCUCUGGCAGGACAGAAAUAUCCAAAGAUCAAAGACCACCUGAGCAGGUCCAGACGACACUUAUUGUCAGUGCAAAUGUGUCCAUGGGAAAACUGUGGUCAACAGAGUUUUAGAGAAAAGUGCAUAUUGCUUUUUCUGCUG